rnacentral:rRNA from 1 species
GAUGAACGCUAGCGGCAGGCUUAACACAUGCAAGUCGAGGGGCAGCGGGGUGUAGCAAUACAUCGCCGGCGACCGGCGCACGGGUGCGUAACACGUAUGGAAUCUGCCCUUUACUGGGGGAUAGCCCGGAGAAAUCCGGAUUAAUACCCCAUAACAAGCGAGGUGGCAUCAUCUUGCUUUGAAAGCUCCGGCGGUAAAGGAUGACCAUGCGCCCGAUUAGCUAGUUGGUGAGGUAAUGGCUCACCAAGGCUACGAUCGGUAGGGGGCCUGAGAGGGUUAUCCCCCACACUGGUACUGAGACACGGACCAGACUCCUACGGGAGGCAGCAGUGAGGAAUAUUGCGCAAUGGAGGCAACUCUGACGCAGCCAUGCCGCGUGCAGGAAGAAGGCGCUACGCGUUGUAAACUGCUUUUAUCCGGGAAGAAACCCCAGGACGUGUCCUGGGUUGACGGUACCGGAGGAAUAAGCACCGGCUAACUUCGUGCCAGCAGCCGCGGUAAAGUAG